AGUGCACUGUUACUGAAUAUAAAAAGGGUCACAGUACAGUAUUCAGACACAUUAGAAUAUGCUGUUAAAUUAACAUUUUACUGCCUUAUACUCAGACAUAGAAAUGGAACAAAUAUGAAAGUCACUGUGACCAUUGCUUGGUUUCUUUCAAACAGACAGAAAUAUCGCAUUUGCAUUUGACUUCAUCAAUGCCCACGUGUAAGUGGAAUUAAAAAUGGGAGAGGAACAUUUUUAGAAUGCAUUCUUAUUUUCACCUGCUACUUUGCGUCAAUCUCCAUAGAGUAGAAUACACAGAAAACCAUUCCCCUGAAGUUUUGCAAGUAAGCUUUCAUCCGUGCCUUCUUUAAAAUACAUAAAAUGAAAGUACUUAUGCACGUGGGAAAGAAGGCCAACAGAGGAGUAUAUGGCAGAACAAGUCAUCAACAGGAAUUAAACUAUUUAUAAAGUACACACACCAAUAAAACAGAUACAGCUAAUAACAUUUUCAACUCAAGAAGUUCUUCAUAUUCUUUCUUCACAGGUGCAGUAGUUUUGUUGUUAAGUACGUGCCCUCUGUCUCUAGCUCUUCCAGUACAAUGUAUUUUAUAAGCACAAAAAGUAGUAUUUGUGGAAUUACAAAAUUCUAAGCAAAACCAAUAGAAACCUCAAGGCACACAGACACUCUCACAAAAUGCAUCAGUAUUGACUUUGGCUUUGAAACACUAGAUAUAAGUUUGAGGUUUAUGCUUCUUUCACUUGUAGCAUAAAGGUCUCCUUUAUUUGCACGACAAGAUGGGUUGCCUUGAAAGAACUCAGUAAAAUUCCUAUCCUUCUUUGAACAGAUAGGAGAAAUCUCUUUUAAAAUUAUGUUUUCUGCACUGUGGCUUUAGUUUAUUAAAAUAACCAAUUUUAGCACAAAUUUUCCUCCUUAAAUUUAAUCUCCUGAGUACUCUACCUACAUUCUUUUCCAUUUUGGUUUCACAAUUCUUCCAUGUGAGUAUCAGCUGCAGCUUUAUUAUAUGCUGGUUAAAACUAACAGAAUUAGAUCCAACUAUUUAAUACAAAUCAAGGUUAAAGAUAAAACAAUGUCAUAUUGAAACUGAUUCUUGCAGCAUGCACGUUCAUAAGAGCAGGAAGAGAUUUUUUUGUCAAAAGCAUUUGUCUGUAUGCUGCAUUUAAGAUAAGUUUCAUAAUAAAUACGAGAGAUGUUAACCACUCUCAAAGCCAAGAGUGGAAUAGAAAAAUCUGAUUUUUCAACCUUUGUGAUAAAGGGAGAAGAAAGCUCUCUACAUCAGUUACUUCAAAACUUUGACAAAAAGGUUUGUCUUCUAAUCUACUGUAUCAAGAAUUCAUCAAGUACAUCUUGCAGCAAAACAUAUAUCCUAUCCCCUGUAAGAACUACAAUUGUAUCUCUUUGUAAAUUAAGCAUACAGCUAUAUUUUUAAUUGAAAUCUGGUUUUCGUAAGCGAUAUAGAGUUAUAUUUUGACUGAACUUUGUUUACUUCUUUAAGAAUUAUUUAUAACUCUUAGACGUCAUCUUGUUAAAUCCCUACAAAGCAAGAAUGCAAAAGAAAUCUAUCAAUAAGCAUGGAAUUAAAAAUGCAUAGAAUGAGGUCACUUUUGUCUCUUACAAUACACAGCAUAGGCUUUCAUGCUAAAAUAUCCCAAUGUAUACGAUCCAGCACAACAGUUAAAUUUCAACAACUCACGCAUUCAUAAAGAUGAAAAAUAGUUUACUUGACUUAGAUCAUACAAACCAAAUUCCAAUAUUCUAUUCAACCAACAGGUCAAUGUUAUGCUUUUACAAGCAGACAACUUGACAGCAAAGCUCUAGUUCCCCCAAACAAAACACUAUCUCAUUUGAACUCUAGUGGCAAAACUAACAAGGCUACAGAACUGGGUCUUAGGCUGUCAUUGGGACCAUCAGUAUUCUGUAAAAUCCAGCUUAAGAGGGAACAAAAACUGAAAAAUGCCCCCCCUUUUUUUAAACAGAUACAUUUUUGUUCUCUAAUGCUUGAAAAUGAACUCUUACUCAGAAUGACCUUUAUCCUUAAAGGAAGAAAAACCUGUAUUUAUUUAUUCAUCAACAGUUUUACACAUACGAUGCACUGAUGUUUAGUUUUGCUAUACUGCCUGAGUUCAUGGAAGGGGGGAACAAUUUUUCAACAAGUUUAAUAUGAGACAACUAAAUGUUCAAGAUUUUGUCCAGUUGUACAUUAUGUAAUCACAAAUAAUAAUUAGAGUGACAUUUUUCAGGAUAUUUUUCACUAAUGUCACAUCAGACAAAAAAUAGCACACAUACUUGAAUCCAACUGCAAAAUUAUAUUUAAUUUGUUUAGAGAAACAGACUACAUUUAGAAAAAGCAAGUAUGUUUAGUCUGUUUCCUGUCUCCUAGGUGUGAGUAGGGAAGAUAAUGUUAAAUAUAUGAUUUAAUUCACUAAAUAUGUCCUUGCAAUAGGAUAGGGAAUAAUAAAUCAUUAGUAAAUAAAACUACUUUCAUGUGACUCUCCACCAAACUUUGUAGGAAAAAUUUUUAGUCUUAGGUAACAUCUGCAUCUACUGUCAGCUAAAUAGAUACAUAGCUGCAUACAAUGCAGACAAUACCAAAUAGGUGAAGAAUAAGACAUGCAGCAAUAUAAAUAGAAGCCAACAUUAGGCACUGAAAAUAACCCAGAAUUUGUAUGAAUUUUGUUGAUUACAAACAUGUUUCCUGUUCUCCAAUGUCCAUUCUGAGUAGGGAAACAAUUUGCUGAGGAUGGGAGAAUGAAAAGAACUUUAUUUCACAUGAAAAGCCAGCAGGGAUUUCUAAACAAGCCCAGAUGUGUUUCUGCUGGUGGGAGGCUGUGAUCUCUGUCACCUUUCAGUCAGACAGGCGUUCUGGCUGCUCGCUUUCCUAUCAAACAUAUCCCUGCUGUAGGAAGUUGGCUUGCUCCUGUCAAGUUCCACACCACUUGCAGAUGCUGCAGGACCAGGAAAGCUCAUUAUACAGCUAUCAGCUGGGCUGUUUUCCUUCCAACCAGAGGCACGCACAAUUACAAUUAUAAACAUGCACAAUUUACACUGAACUAGUUGUUUUGUUUUACUUUAUUCAUGUGUUUAGUUGAAGAAAAGGAAAUUAAGUCAAUAAUCCGAGCUAAAGGAUAUUACUCAAAGCUGUUGUUGCUUCAGUAUGCCGUUCUUUAAUCAUUCUGAGUAAAUUCAAAUGAUAAACAUUCACUGGCCUCUUCAACCAGGCAGGCUGUCUAGACCACACGGAAAUCCACAGUGAUAACUUGAUAAUUUUCCAUUGAAAGUUUUUUAAUUCCACUGCAGAAAGUGAAAUAAAACAUCCAACUCAAUGGAUAAUACAUAUUUCCUUUUUAAAACCAAGGACAGGCUCACAUUAAACAAUACACUAAUUCAAGCUUGGUACUGAAGUCCUUUCUGAAGCUCACAUUAUAGACUGCAUCAUGUGCUUCUGUAAUUUCCUUCAUCUGGCUGUUCAAAAAAACAAAACAAGAACCCAGCUGACACACUGCGUCCUGACAACAAUUGCACCUUCUCCGUUGCAGCUACUGCACAUGAAAUACAACCUUUUGCAACAUCAGGUGGAAUGUUUGAUUCCAUGACAAACAAUAUGGCAUCUCCAAAGUCUUUCAGUGUACCCCAUGGGCAUUCAUUUAUCCUGCACCUGCUCAGACUAUAGUUAAAAUCUUUCCUUGCAAUUGCUCAGUGUAAAUCCUUGAACUGGGGAAGCAGAAGGUCGGUGACCUCCAAAAACUGCUCUGUCAACAGGACAACUACUACUGCUAUUAAAUUAAUAUGACUAGGCUAGAAAUACUGCAGGUCAAAUAAAAAGAAUCUUUUGUAUUUCUUCUUAAAUGGUCAGGAAUCCUCCAACAAUGAAUAAACCUGAAAUAAUUUGAAGAUAGAAAGAUUUCUUAGGAUAAAGUGGAAGUAUGUUCUUUUUAAAUAAAUAUAUUUUUAUAAACAUAUAUUAUAUGUUUUAAGUAUAGGUACAUUUGGGUGUCAGUGAACAUAGACGUUCAAAUAAAAAAAAAAGGAAUUUUUAGUGUAACCCUCCCUGUGCUAAAACAGACUAAAUGGUUGUAGCAAAGAUGGUAACAGCCACAAGGAGCUGACAAACUAUAUCAUGAUAAAAUGCAACUGGUAGAUAAAGUGAUCACAUAAUUUGAAAAGGAGGAAAAGUAACUGUGAAAUGUAUUAGCAUAAUUAGUGAAUUCUACUAUCAUCAUGACCAAGAUUUUCUGAGACUACAAUAAGAACAAUUUAAGUAUCUUCACAUUUUCUAAUUUGCUGGUGGGAAAAAGGCCUCAAUAAUUUAGAAGUAAAAUCUGUAACCACAGCUACAGCAACGAAACUCCAUAAUAGCUAUUAGUCAAACAGCUGCCACUUCAUACUAGAAUAGGCUGAUCAAAUUCUGACAGUUCUGAGCUCUGUAACCUUUUUUUUUCCCCCCACAUUUCUUCCCAAUUUGUUGUCCUCACAAAUCUGUGUUGAGAGACAUAACACAAGCAGCUUGACUCCAGCUGGAAUGGCAAGCGCAACCGUCUCCCUGGAGCCAGUACUCCCAAAGAUGUCAAGCCUGCAACUACUGCUGCAUCUGAAGGUCAAUUCUUUGGCAUUACUGCAGCACGUUCCAAAGGGCUGAUGUCAACAUUCCUUCCUAUGGAGCCUGACACUGGAUUGGGAACUGAAAUGAAGAAGGAAAAAAGCAGCUGGCAAAGUCAGUACCUAGCACAACAGCAGAGCUGAACCCUGGCAUGAGCAGUUCUAGCAGGAAACAACUGAUGCAAGUUAGCAGGUCUGAACAUGCCAAGCAAGUGAAACCCUAAUGCUGCAGAGGUUCUUACUAAAGCAAGUGGAAAAAGUACAAGAUAUAACUAAAUUUGCUCAACAUCAACCAAUACUCAGAUACGUUGUUAACAGCUGUAAAACAGCCUGUAUUUACAUUUCUAUCCUGCACUUCAAAAUACCUCAAUUUUUCAACAUUGUUCAGGAUAAAAUAAUGAAUUGCUCUGAAUCAAUAAAGAAAAAAGUGAAGCAGACUCAAAGGCAACUACAAGAUGACAAGUGUAUUACUAUGAGAACUUUCUGAAAUACCUCAGAUCUUGUUUUCAAAUAAAAAUAAUGAAAUAUUAAAUAUACGUUAUGAGAAAAAGUUGAAAAAAUAUUUAUUAAGAUGAAGGCAGAAAUCACUCUAAAGCUUUUCUUAUGCUAGCUAGUAACUUCCAGGGGAAGGAGAGGAAAACAUGCAUAUUUUAAAAAUUCUUAAAACGAGCAGUAUAGCUUCCUGUAGAAGAAACUAGAUAUUAAAAAGUUUUCUCCACAAUGAACCCUAUGUUUGCCAUGAGUAAAAGAAUUUCUUUAAUAUUACUCUACUGAAGAAAAUCAAAUGUUUGUGCCAGGUCUCUGAGUUUUGUAAGGCCUGCUUACUUGGUGAAAAGAGCCUGUUACCAUGGUUACAACCGUAAAAACUUAAGCCUCAGUGAGAUAUUAACAUUCCUUACUCUUGGAAAGAAAAAGGUUUCCUUUUUUUAGGCAAGUGACCCUUUCUUUUUUUCUAGGUCCCCCCUUUUCUUUUACAUGUUCGAAAAGAAUCAGAAAUAAAUCCUAAUCUUGUGUAAAUAGUUGAAGAUGUGAAGCCUGACUAGUACAUUGUUUCUGUAGUAAAGCAUCUUCUAUUAAAGGAAAGACUCCUUACAGUUGUAACUAGUCCUUAACAUAAUAAAAGUAAAUCACUGAAAGCAAACAAAUACUAUGGAUUUCAAGUAACCUGCUCCUAAAAUGUAACAACCAAGAAGAAAAGAUGUCCUCAUUCUAAUGGUGACCUGAGGUUGACUUCCACAUGAAUAAGCGUGUUUUUUUUUUAAAAAGCAUUUCAUACUAUUAUUUAAAACAAUGCUCACAGCUGUGCCCUUCCCCCACCCAACAAUUUCUUAAAGAUUUGUUCAGGUUUUGGCUGUCCUAACACUGGCAAAUACAUGUUCAAAUGAAAAUUAAUCUGACAUCUCUCUCUAAUGGCACGAGAGAGUCACUGUAGUUCACAACUCCAACUUAGUUUCAGUUCUUUAGAGUGCAAAGGUGAACUGACUUCAGAGUAUUACCAUAAAUUAUUGUCAAAAUAUUGCACCUUGUAAGCUGAAAACUAGUUUAUACACACUACUAAUACAAUAGUUUAUUUGGAAUAAGACUAUGUAUAGAAAAUGUUUUAUUAAAAUGGAAAAUAUAUAACACAAAGUAUUGACAAAAAACAUUGCUACCAGCCUUCCUAGGUACCAUAAUUAGCAGCCUCCUGUAUUAUUUUUUUUGACUUUUCUGCUGAAAAAAAUCGCAACCUACUUAGCUUUCUUGAUCACCAGCUACUCAGAGAAGAUUUGAAAGAAGACAGAAGACAGAUCAGAGAGAUUAAGCACUAACUGAAGUAUACUAUCAAACUGCUUCUAUAGUUAGUAAUGUUGCUGUACUUCAGUAUUGCUAAGUCUGACAAUUGUUUUUCAAAAUAAAACAAAAACAGUUUUAAAGAAUUCUGCAUUCAAAAGAAAUUAAAGAAAGAAAGAAAUUAAGGAAAGUCAUGGGCCUGCACCAAGUCGCAGGCAAAUUCAGUUCACAAACUUGUAUUUAUUUGUGUUUUAAUAACAGGAUUAAAGUUGAGUCUUCUGAAACAGAACUGGGCCUUCCCACAGUAAAAUCAAUUUGACCCAUCUAUGGUAAAUCCAGGUUUCUGUUCAGUUACAAAUAGGAUAUUUUGUUAAAUAUCAGAAACUUGCCAGAUUCUGUGUUACAGUGCUUCCAAAGUGUGUCUCUUAGGUGAGAUAUCUUGGAAGACACAAAUUUGGAUAAAAUUUUAUAUCAAUUCCUACCUGUCUCAUUGUCACAAAACCUAGAAAGAUACAAAAACUAUUUAUACAGCUCCUAUACAAAACAUGAGCAUCGUGUUCUGCUUGCUUUGUUCUGUUGUUGCUCUUCAGAAUACAGAUGUGAUUUCCAACUUUAAUGCCUGACAAACAUCAGUUUCAUCAAAGAGCAGUAUGCUUUUAUUUCUGUCUUACAUUUUUGCAAGCUUAUCCACACACACACACACAAAAAAGCCUAAACAACCGAUGGCAAGAUUUGUUUGCUGUUUCUUCCAGUAGCUAAAUGCAAUUUGCAGUAGCACGUAAAUUGAUAAGGAAUCACGCUGCAAACUCACUAAACACAUUGUUCCAGCCCCUCAUGUAAAUACCAAGGAAUUUUAAAGAGGAAUUCUAGCUCCCACAUUAAAACAUUUUUAGAGGUCUGUGUGAUUUAAUCAAAAUGAUAUAAAAAAUGUAUUUUGUACUGUUUCACCUUGGCCCUCUGCCCCCUUAAUAAAAGCAACUGCUGGCUUACCUUCCAGUUCUAACAAAAAGAGAGUGAGAUUUAAAAUUAGAAAUACAGGAGUUUUAUAGUUCAUAUCCCUCCAUCUGUAUAUUCAUUCUACAAGAAAGUACUUCAUAAUUCAAUUUGAUGGUUAUUUACAGGUCAAUUGCAAAACUCCAGAAUUGGCUUGGAUCACAAAUUUAACCCUGUUUUAAAUCAGUUUUGCAAUGGCAACAGUAAGAAACCUGCAAUCUUCACAUUAUGUAACAUAGCUGCCAUGAAUAAAGGAAAGAAAUCUACCACUUGUAAUUAAAUUGCCUUGCUUGUAAUGAUGGGUGUAUAACUUAGAGAAGGGGAAAAUUGUUCAAGUGAUUAGGAAUCAGCACUGAGAUUCAGAAAGAAAAGAAACCUUUUCACAUCAUUUUGCUAUUGGGGUCCUUUAUUUCACAUUUUUAGGGUCAGUUCUAUGAUACUGAAGAAUAUACAUUUACUUUUUAAAUGAUUAUGUAAGAAAUCCUGUAUUUCUUUUUUCUUAAACACAUCUUUUGAAGAUAAAUCAGAUAUCAGAAAGCCACAGUAAAACUGUAAGCAUUAACAACACUGUGUACACUACAAUUAAACAAAAUUCUUUUGCUGAGUAGAGCACAAGUAUCAAGCCAAGUUCUUCUUUCCUGGACAUAUAAACAAAUCCUACAGAGCCAAAAACAAUGGGGCCAAAUUCUAAAUGAGAAUGAGCUUUUGAAUAUGGAAGUCUGGAAAGAAAUGUGAUGGUUUUUUGUUUUUUUUUUCCAUCACGAUGCACGUGGGCUACUAAGAUACUUUGCAAAGUAAAGAACAGAU